UCUCUGGUAGUAUAUCGGUUAGUACACGCGCCUGUCAUAGCUGAAUAUACGCAGUGGUGUUGCGCGCGAAAGCUGGGUUCGACUCCCAGCCAGAGAG